UGGGGAAUUUUGGACAAUGGGCGCAAGCCUGAUCCAGCUAUGCCGCGUGGAUGAAGAAGGCCCUAGGGUUGUAAAGUCCUUUCGUUGGUGAAGAUAAUGACGGUAACCAAAGAAGAAGCCCCGGCUAAUUUCGUGCCAGCAGCCGCGGUAAUACGAAAGGGGCUAGCGUUGUUCGGAAUUACUGGGCGUAAAGCGUGCGCAGGCGGCUUCGUAAGACGGAUGUGAAAGCCCCGGGCUCAACCUGGGAAGUGCACUCGUGACUGCAAGGCUAGAGUGUGUCAGAGGGAGGUGGAAUUCCGCGUGUAGCGGUGGAAUGCGUAGAGAUCGGGAAGAACAUCAGUGACGAAGGCGACGUGCUGGGCUGCACCUGACGCUGAGAUGCGAAAGUGUGGGGAGCAAACGGGAUUAGAUACCCACGUAGUCCCUGAGCGGGCUGGCAAGGCGCAU
rnacentral:rRNA from 1 species